rnacentral:rRNA from 1 species
AGUGAACGCUGGCGGUAGGCCUAACACAUGCAAGUCGAACGGCAGCACAGUAAGAGCUUGCUCUUACGGGUGGCGAGUGGCGGACGGGUGAGGAAUACAUCGGAAUCUACUUUUUCGUGGGGGAUAACGUAGGGAAACUUACGCUAAUACCGCAUACGACCUACGGGUGAAAGCAGGGGACCUUCGGACCUUGCGCGAUUGAAUGAGCCGAUGUCGGAUUAGCUAGUUGGCGGGGUAAAGGCCCACCAAGGCGACGAUCCGUAGCUGGUCUGAGAGGAUGAUCAGCCAGACUGGAACUGAGACACGGUCCAGACUCCUACGGGAGGCAGCAGUGGGGAAUAUUGGACGAUGGGCGCAAGCCUGAUCCAGCCAUACCGCGUGGGUGAAGAAGGCCUUCGGGUUGUAAAGCCCUUUUGUUGGGAAAGAAAAGCAGCAGGUUAAUACCCCGCUGUUCUGACGGUACCCAAAGAAUAAGCACCGGCUAACUUCGCG